UACGAAGGGGGCUAGCGUUGCUCGGAAUCACUGGGCGUAAAGGGUGCGUAGGCGGGGCUUUAAGGCAGGGGUUAAAUCCUGGAGCUCAACUCCAGAACUGCCUUUGAUACUGAGGAUCUUGAGUUCGGGAGAGGUGAGUGGAACUGCGAGUGUAGAGGUGAAAUUCGUAGAUAUUCGCAAGAACACCAGUGGCGAAGGCGGCUCACUGGCCCGAUACUGACGCUGAGGCACGAAAGCGUGGGGAGCAAACAGG
rnacentral:rRNA from 1 species